GGAUCUCUUGGAUUGCCUGUUUGGUGUGGAGGUCUGUAAUCUCAUUGGUUAUGAGUUUGGUUUGGUCUGGGGGUAAUGUCAGCUCUCUUGGGACAUGUGUUUGAAAUGGGGUAGAUAUAAGGUCGCGGUAGAAACCUCUGACAGUCUGUAAAACCCAAGCGUCUUUGGUGAGCUCGUCCCAUGCGUGUGCAAUCCUUGCUAGCCUGCCCCCUAUGUGUAGGUGUGAAGGAGGGAGAGUUAUUGUACUUACCGUAAGGUCGUAUGUAAGUAGAUUGUCUACGGUUUCCCCGAGUAGUCCAUGGGCGUCCCCUGGACGGGAAGAAGGGCGACGGACGGAACUCCUGGUAUGUGCGGGGUGCCCCGAAAGAGCCCCUAUGGAUCCUGGAGGGACCCCGAUAGACUCGGCCGGGUGGACGGCUCCUAGAUCUCCCGGCUCCGUGUAAAACCUUGGGGUUAAACACUCUCUUAAGGUUGGCCUGAGCCUUGUCUAAAGUGGUAAAGGUUUUGACAAAAGCCCCGAUGUCUUUGACAAAGGACUCGCCAAAUAACAUCCCUUGAGCUGUGGGUCCAGGUUCUCUAUUUGCCAAAUUAAUCAACUUAGGUUCAAU